GCCGGCGUAGCUCAGUGGUAGAGCAGGGUCUUCAUAAGGCCAAGGUCGGAGGUUCGAUCCCUCCCGUCGGCA
rnacentral:tRNA from 1 species